AUUCCAGCUCCAAUAGCGUAUAUUAAAGUUGUUGCAGUUAAAAAGCUCGUAGUUGAAUUUUGGACCUGGUUGAAUGGUCCCGCCGCAAGGUGGGUACUGUUUGAUUGGGUCUUUCUUUGCGGGGAAUUAGUGUGCUCUUAAUUGGGUGCAUUAAGGAUCCGUAACUUUUACUUUGAAAAAAUUAGAGUGUUUAAAGCAGGCUUAGGCCUGAAUACAUUAGCAUGGAAUAAUAGAAUAGGACCUGUGUUCUAUUUUGUUGGUUUCUAGGACGUAGGUAAUGAUUAAUAGGGAUAGUUGGGGGUGCUAGUAUUAAGGGGCCAGAGGUGAAAUUCUUGGAUUCUCUUAAGACUAACUUAUGCGAAAGCAUUCACCAAGGAUGUCUUCAUUA
rnacentral:rRNA from 1 species